rnacentral:miRNA from 1 species
GAAAAGUUAUCAAGUUCAGUGUUAGAAAGUUCUCUCUCUCUCUCUCUCUCUCUCUCUCUCACACACACACACACAGAGAGAGAGAGAGAGAGAGAGAGAGAGAGAGAGAGAGAGAGAGAACUUUCUAACACUGAACUUGAUUGCCUCA